rnacentral:rRNA from 1 species
CCUACGGGAGGCAGCAGUGAGGAAUAUUGGUCAAUGGACGCAAGUCUGAACCAGCCAUGCCGCGUGCAGGAAGACGGCUCUAUGAGUUGUAAACUGCUUUUGUACGAGGGUAAACGCAGAUACGCGUAUCUGUCUGAAAGUAUCGUACGAAUAAGGAUCGGCUAACUCCGUGCCAGCAGCCGCGGUAAUACGGAGGAUUCAAGCGUUAUCCGGAUUUAUUGGGUUUAAAGGGUUCGUAGGCGGUCGGAUAAGUUAGAGGUGAAAUCCCGAGGCUCAACUUCGGAAUUGCCUCUGAUACUUUUCGGCGAGAGAGUAGUUGCGGUAGGCGGAAUGUAUGGUGUAGCGGUGAAAUGCUUAGAGAUCAUACAGAACACCGAUUGCGAAGGCAGCUUACCAAGCUACUUCUGACGUUGAGGCACGAAAGCGUGGGGAGCAAACAGGAUUAGAUACCCUUGUAGUC